rnacentral:rRNA from 1 species
AAGGAAUAUUGCUCAAUGGGAGAAAUCCUGGAGCAGCAACGCCGCGUGGAGGAUGAAGGGUCUAUGACUUGUAAACUCCUGUAAAGAAGGAAAAAAUUCCCAUUUGAUGGGAGAUGAUGGUACUUCUGGAGUAAGCCCCGGCUAACUACGUGCCAGCAGCCGCGGUGAUACGUAGGGGGCAAGCGUUGUCCGGAUUUACUGGGUGUAAAGGGUGCUCAGGCGGAUUUGUAAGUCAGAGGUGAAAUCUUACAGCUUAACUGUGAAACUGCCUUUGAUACUGCAAGCCUAGAGUAUGGAAGAGAGUGAUGGAAUAUCUGGUGUAGCAGUGAAAUGCGUAGAUAUGCGGAGGAACACCGAUGGCGAAGGCAGUCCCCUGGGCCUGUACUGACGCUCAUGCACGAAAGCGUGGGGAGCAAACA